CGGCAACAGCUCAAAUUUGAAAUCUGGCCUCUUUGGGGUCCGAGUUGUAAUUUGGAGAGGAUGUUUCGGGUACGGUCCGGGCUUAAAUUUCUUGGAACAGAAUGUCACAGAGGGUGAGAAUCCCGUCU
rnacentral:rRNA from 1 species